GCGGAGGGGAAACACCCGGUCCCAUUCCGAACCCGGAAGUUAAGCCCUCCAGCGCCGAUGGUACUGCACGGGCGACCGUGUGGGAGAGUAGGACACCGCCGGAC
rnacentral:rRNA from 1 species